rnacentral:lncRNA from 1 species
UGUCCCGGGACACCGCGGGGACAGCCCGGGCACCGAGGGGACAGCGCGGGCACCGCGGGGACAGCCCGGACACCGCGGGGACAGCACCCCCCGUCUGUCCCGGGACACCGCGGGGACAGCCCGGGCACCGAGGGGACAGCCCGGACACCGAGGGGACAGCGCGGACACCAAGGGGACAGCACCCCCCGUCUGUCCCGGGACACCGCGGGGACAGCCCAGACACCAAGGGGACAGCCCGGGCACCGCGGGGACAGCCCGGACACCGCGGGGACAGCCCGGACACCGAGGAGACAGCCCGGACACCGCGGGGACAGCCCGGACACCGAGGGGACAGCCCGGACACCAAGGGGACACGGGGACGCUCAGGGGGACAUCCCGGACACCGCGGGGGUAUCCCGGGACACCGCGUGGGCAGCACUGCCCGUCUGUCCCGGGACAAGGCGAGUUUGCCCCUCUGUCUCUCCCGGGACAUGGCGCGGUCAUCACUGCCCGUCUUUCCCGGGACACGGUGGGUUUGUCCCUCCAUCGAUCCCGGGACACCGCAGGUCCACCACCACCCGUUUAUCCCGGGACUCCACGCGUCCAUCACUGCUCGUUUAUCCCCGGUCCCGCGGCUCCAUCCCUCCCGGUUCACCGCAGCUCCAGCCCCGCCCGUCCCUCCCGGUUCACCCCAGCUCCAGCCCCGCCCGUGCCCCGGUUCCCGCCGCGGGGGCCGUACCGGGACGGGCUGCAGACGGCGGCGCUGCUGUAGAAGUCGGUGAAGCGCAGCCCGCGGGCCGCCAGCCGGUCCAGGUGCGGCGUGGCGGACGAGGGGUGCCCGUAGCUGCCCAGGUCCCCGAAGCCCAGAUCGUCCGCCAGCACCAGCACGAAGUUGGGCCGGGCGGCGGCGGCGGCGGCGGCGCUCACGGGCGGCACCGGCGGCAGCAGCGGCAGCAGCAGGAGCAGCAGGCAGGGGCGGUGCCGGCGCUGCGGCCCCAUGGCGCUGCCCUGGCGGUGUCCCCCCGUGUCCCGGUGCUGUCCCGGGGCUGUCCCGGUGCUGUCCCGGGGCCGUCCCGGGCGGUGCCGGCAGUGCCCGAGCCGAUCACGUGAUGCAGAUGGCGGCCAGGCGGCCGCGGGGCGUGCUGGGAGUUGU